ACCCAGACUCCUACGGGAGGCAGUAGUGGGGAAUAUUGCACAGUGGGGGAAACCCUGAUGCAGCAACGCCGCGUGAGUGAGGAAGUAUUUCGGUAUGUAAAGCUCUAUCAGCAGGGAAUAGAAAAGAAGGUACCUGAAAAAGAAGCCCCGGCUAACUACGUGCCAGCAGCCGCGGUAAUACGUAGGGGGCGAGCGUUAUCCGGAUUCACUGGGUGUAAAGGGAGCGUAGACGGCCAAGCAAGCCAGGGGUGAAAGCCCGGGGCCCAACCCCGGGACUGCCCUUGGAACUGCAUGGCUGGAGUGCGGGAGGGGCAGGCGGAAUUCCUGGUGUAGCGGUGAAAUGCGUAGAUAUCAGGAGGAACACCGGCGGCGAAGGCGGCCUGCUGGACCGCGACUGACGUUGAGGCUCGAAAGCGUGGGGAGCGAACAGGAUUAGAUACCCUCGUAU
rnacentral:rRNA from 1 species